AGCUUUCACCAGCUGAGCUCUCAGAUGAACCUAAAAAGAAUUUCCUGCUGGAGUAGGAAAACCAGCAAGCACCAGAACGGGACAGAGUCUUCCAGCAGCAGUUGCCCUACUGCCAAAUACACAGGGAUAAGGAGCGUCACUGCACCUGGGCAGACCAGAAGGCGGGG